AACGAACGCUGGCGGCAUGCCUAACACAUGCAAGUCGAACGAACCCUUCGGGGUGAGUGGCGCACGGGUGCGUAACGCGUGGGAACCUGCCCUUAGGUUCGGAAUAACAGUGAGAAAUCGCUGCUAAUACCGGAUAAUGUCUUCGGACCAAAGAUUUAUCGCCUUUGGAUGGGCCCGCGUUGGAUUAGCUAGUUGGUGGGGUAAAGGCUCACCAAGGCGACGAUCCAUAGCUGGUCUUAGAGGAUGAUCAGCCACACUGGGACUGAGACACGGCCCAGACUCCUACGGGAGGCAGCAGUGGGGAAUAUUGGACAAUGGGCGAAAGCCUGAUCCAGCAAUGCCGCGUGAGUGAUGAAGGCCUUAGGGUUGUAAAGCUCUUUUACCAGGGAUGAUAAUGACAGUACCUGGAGGAUAAGCUCCGGCUAACUCCGUG
rnacentral:rRNA from 1 species